rnacentral:rRNA from 1 species
GAUGAACGCUGGCGGCGUGCCUAAUACAUGCAAGUCGAGCGAACGGACGAGAAGCUUGCUUCUCUGAUGUUAGCGACGGACGGGUGAGUAACACGUGGAUAACCUACCUAUAAGACUGGGAUAACUUCGGGAAACCGGAGCUAAUACCGGAUAAUAUUUUGAACCGCAUGGUUCAAAAGUGAAAGACGGUCUUGCUGUCACUUAUAGAUGGAUCCGCGCUGCAUUAGCUAGUUGGUAAGGUAACGGCUUACCAAGGCAACGAUGCAUAGCCGACCUGAGAGGGGGAUCGGCCACACUGGAAAGGAGAAACGGCCCAAACUCCUAGGGGAGGCAGGAGUAGGGAAUCCUACGAAAUGGGGGAAAGCCUGACGGAACAACGCCGCGUGGGGGAUGAAGGUCUUCGGAUUGUAAAACUCUGUUAUUAGGGAAGAAAAUAUGUGUAAGUAACUGGGCACAUCUUGACGGUACCUAAUCAGAAAGCCACGGCUAAAUACGU